UGGCGUAGUUUAUAAGAAAAUGAGAGUUUUGAAGGAGUUGGAGGAGAAGAAGAGAUUUUAAAGAGAUGAGCUUUGGAAGAGAGAGCUUUGGAGGAAAGAGUUGGAGGAGAAGAGUUGGAGGGGAUAGAAAUGGAGAAAAAGGAGUUUUUAAGGAAUAAAAGAGAGUUGGUUGGAACAAGGGACAGUUUUGGCGAUUGAUUUCCUGCCAAAACCUAACCCUUCCAUCAACUCCCGUUCAGCUUCGUUAACUGGAACUGACGGAAGGGGCAACAAGACUACAAUAUUAAAGUUUAGGGGGCUAAAUAUCAAUUUUAAGAGUUU
rnacentral:lncRNA from 1 species